UUCCGGUUGAUCCCGCCGGAGGUUACUGCUAUCGAGGUUCGACCAAGCCAUGCGAGUCGAAUGCCGCAAGGCAUGGCGUACUGCUCAGUAACACGUGGACAACCUACCCUUAGGACUGGGAUAACCCCGGGAAACUGGGGAUAAUCCCCGAUAGUCCUCGAAGGCUGGAACGCAUCGAGGGCGAAAGCUCCGGCGCCUAAGGAUGGGUCUGCGGCCUAUCAGGUAGUAGUGGGUGUAGCGUACCUACUAGCCUACGACGGGUACGGGUUGUGAGAGCAAGAGCCCGGAGAUGGAUUCUGAGACACGAAUCCAGGCCCUACGGGGUGCAGCAGGCGCGAAAACUUUACAAUGCUGGCAACAGCGAUAAGGGAACCUCGAGUGCCAGGUUACAAAUCUGGCUGUCGAGAUGCCUAAAAGCAUUUCAUAGCAAGGGCCGGGCAAGACCGGUGCCAGCCGCCGCGGUAACACCGGCGGCUCGAGUGGUAACCGUUAUUAUUGGGUCUAAAGGGUCUGUAGCCGGCCGGAUAAGUCUCUUGAGAAAUCUGGCAGCUUAACUGUCAGGCUUUCAGGAGAUACUGUCUGGCUCGAGGCCGGGAGAGGUGAGAGGUACUUCAGG
rnacentral:rRNA from 1 species